rnacentral:rRNA from 1 species
GAUGAACGCUGGCGGCAUGCCUAAGACAUGCAAGUCGAACGAAGUGGUUUUAUGAAGGAAUGAGUGCUUGCACGAAUUUUGGAUUAAAGUUGCCACUUAGUGGCAGACGGGUGAGUAACACGUGGGUAACCUACCCUGAAGACUGGGAUAACUACUGGAAACGGUAGCUAAUACCGGAUAAUUCAUCUUUAGAUAACUAGAGGUGCUAAAAGGAGCGUAUGCUUCACUUCAGGAUGGGCUUGCGGUGUAUUAGCUAGUUGGUGGGGUAAUGGCCUACCAAGGCAACGAUGCAUAUCCGAGCUGAGAGGCUGAUCGGACACACUGGGACUGAGACACGGUCCAGACUCCUACGGGAGGCAGCAGUGAGGAAUCUUGCGCAAUGGGGGAAACCCUGACGCAGCAACGCCGCGUGAGUGAGGAAGGCCUUGGGUCGUAAGACUCUGUCAGAUGGGAGAAAUGGAUGGGGCGUAAUAUCGCCCAU